rnacentral:rRNA from 1 species
AUUGAACGCUGGCGGCAGGCCUAACACAUGCAAGUCGAGCGGAUGAAGGGAGCUUGCUCCUGGAUUCAGCGGCGGACGGGUGAGUAAUGCCUAGGAAUCUGCCUGGUAGUGGGGGAGAACGUCCGGAAACGGGCGCUAAUACCGCAUACGUCCUGAGGGAGAAAGUGGGGGAUCUUCGGACCUCACGCUAUCAGAUGAGCCUAGGUCGGAUUAGCUAGUUGGUGGGGUAAAGGCCUACCAAGGCGACGAUCCGUAACUGGUCUGAGAGGAUGAUCAGUCACACUGGAACGGAGACACGGUCAAGACUCCUACGGGAGGCAGCAGUGGGGAAUAUUGGACAAUGGGCGAAAGCCUGAUCCAGACAUGCCGCGUGUGUGAAGAAGGUCUUCGGAUUGUAAAGCACUUUAAGUUGGGAGGAAGGGCAGUAAGUUAAUACCUUGCUGUUUUGACGUUACCAACAGAAUAAGCACCGGCUAACUUCGUG